CGUAGAUUUGGUUUGUCAGUUGAUUGAUAGUCUUGCGAAUAUACCAGCCAUUUUAGAAAUAUCUUUACAACACUUCUCACGUGGUGUUUAUUCACAAUCAACUCAAUGGCCAGACAAUAGCCUAUCACGUUUCUAACGUGUACGGGGGAUUAUGGGUUCUAUUCCGGAGAGGGAGCUUCAGAAAAGGCUAUCAGAUCUAAGGAAGGUAGCAGACGCGCAAAUUACACAAUCUUAACAUGGGCAUAUAGUGAUG
rfam:Glarea lozoyensis 74030 unplaced genomic scaffold M7I_scaffold12, whole genome shotgun sequence.